rnacentral:rRNA from 1 species
AGAUUGAACGCUGGCGGCAGGCCUAACACAUGCAAGUCGAGCGGUAGAGAGGUGCUUGCACCUCUUGAGAGCGGCGGACGGGUGAGUAAAGCCUAGGAAUCUGCCUGGUAGUGGGGGAUAACGCUCGGAAACGGACGCUAAUACCGCAUACGUCCUACGGGAGAAAGCGAGGGGACCUUCGGGCCUUGCGCUAUCAGAUGAGCCUAGGUCGGAUUAGC